rnacentral:lncRNA from 1 species
CUCUUAUUUACAGGUAAUGUAGUACUAAUGUUUGUCAUCAUGCCUGUGUGGUGGUCUGUCUGGCUGUGCAAAUUACAAACAAGUGCGAAAAUGAGAUUUACCAGAGAUUUACCCCGAUGCUGCCAGUGGUUUGCGGCUAUCAAGAAUGAUGCUUACAGUGACCAAAGGUUAUCAAAGCAAUUGAGGAGUGGUAAGAUGGACAGGGAAGGCAGUUAUGGGUGCAUCCCAUAAAAGGGGGCAUGGGCAAUACUACCACCUUGUCCAGGAGCUGCUCUUGGACCAUGCCUGACAUCACUGAUACAUCCGGAUGAGUGCAGAAGAGAUGGAGUCUUUUGUUGGCCCAGACCUCACCAAGCCGACGACCAACUACAGGACCCCAAUAGAGCCAAAGCAAAAACUAGCUGUCACUCUAAGGAGGGGAUUAUCAAUGUGACUGGGAUUCUUGGACCCAGCUCUCUUAAGAAAAUGUACUGAAGCUGUCAUCCCAGCUAUGUGUUGGAGACCUAAGUUCUGGUACUUGGCAUCUGGAGACUUUAUUUGCAGUCUGACCUUGACCUACCGUCUUGGAUUCGAGACAGUAUUGCAGUGCAUUAUGUAGACCUGUGAGGCCAUAGAGAGGAGGACCAUAGCGACCCAUCUGCCACGACCCACUGACGAAACCUGGAGACAAACUUCUCAAGAGUGUAAUGAAAAAUGGGACUUUCCCAAUUGUUUGGGAUUGGUUGAUGGAAAAUAUUAUGAUCACCAAACCACCAAACUCAGGAAGACGGUUUUUUUUUUUAUUAUAAAGGAACCUUCUCCGUGGUGCUACUCGCCCUUGUGGAUGCUAAAUACCACUUCACAGCUAUUGAGGUGGGGGAUUUUGGGAGAAACAGAGACGGCAGAGUAAAUAAAAAAAUUAAAA